CUCCGGUGGUAUGAGAUGGACCCGCGUCUGAUUAGGUAGUUGGUGGGGUAAAGGCCUACCAAGCCGACGAUCAGUAGCCGACCUGAGAGGGUGACCGGCCACAUUGGGACUGAGACACGGCCCAAACUCCUACGGGAGGCAGCAGUGGGGAAUAUUGCACAAUGGGGGAAACCCUGAUGCAGCGACGCCGCGUGAAGGAAGAAGUAUUUCGGUAUGUAAACUUCUAUCAGCAGGGAAGAAAAUGACGGUACCUGAGUAAGAAGCACCGGCUAAAUACGUGCCAGCAGCCGCGGUAAUACGUAUGGUGCAAGCGUUAUCCGGAUUUACUGGGUGUAAAGGGAGCGUAGACGGAUAGGCAAGUCUGGAGUGAAACCCAGGGCUCAACCCUGGGACUGCUUUGGAAACUGCAGAUCUGGAGUGCCGGAGAGGUAAGCGGAAUUCCUAGUGUAGCGGUGAAAUGCGUAGAUAUUAGGAGGAACACCAGUGGCGAAGGCGGCUUACUGGA
rnacentral:rRNA from 1 species